rnacentral:rRNA from 1 species
GACGAACGCUGGCGGCGUGCUUAACACAUGCAAGUCGAGCGGAAAGGCCCUUCGGGGUACUCGAGCGGCGAACGGGUGAGUAACACGUGAGUAACCUGCCCUGGACUUUGGGAUAACCCUCGGAAACGGGGGCGUAAUACCGAAUACGACUUCUGCCCGCAUGGGUGGUGGUGGAAAGUUUUUCGGUCUGGGAUGGGCUCGCGGCCUAUCAGCUUGUUGGUGGGGUGAUGGCCUACCAAGGCGACGACGGGUAGCCGGCCUGAGAGGGCGACCGGCCACACUGGGACUGAGACACGGCCCAGACUCCUACGGGAGGCAGCAGUGGGGAAUAUUGCACAAUGGGCGGAAGCCUGAUGCAGCGACGCCGCGUGAGGGAUGACGG